GCAAUAAUGAAAAUCUUCUCUACGCGGUGUCCACUGCUAGAGCCACUAGCCGCUUAGGACUAUUGAGUGCUUGAAAUGUCUACUGUAUAACUUAUUUAGUAUUCCUAUAGUUAGAGGAAAAUCCAGUAUUCCAAAUGUAAUGAAUGGUGUACUAAAAACAGGUUAACAUUAGAUCUGCAAGUACGAAUGUCAGGAGGAGACACGAACAGCGGGCACCGUGACAGUUACUUGAGUAACCUGGAACAUGAGGUCAUGUUGCUGACUCCCUCCUGCUCAAAGAACUUCUGGAGCUCCAACCCUUCAGGUUAUCUGACAAUUUAUCAAUAAAUUAUUUAUCAAUAACUUAUUGACAUUUAUCAAUAAAUCUUCUCAAAAAAUUAAUUCUGUUUUAU
rnacentral:lncRNA from 1 species